ACCAAUUUGGGGCGAUCCAGCCAUCAGUAGCGACCAGCGUACAGGCCAAAUCGCUUUCCUCCUCGAGCUUCUCGGGGUGUGCGUGCACCACACACGGGCACACAGGCGGAUUUUCCACUACGCUCGUCGCAGCCGUCACAAAUCCCGGACCCCGUUACGGGCGGAAUCGGAAACGGAAGGCGAAACCCGUUUGCCAAGCGGGUUUGGCCCUUUUUUGGGAGGCUCCAGUGUUUCAGCGCUCCAGUGUUCCUUGCGUUCUGGUACCUUGUGCAACUGUUCCAAAUUCAUCAAUUGUGCGGGUGUGCGAGUGUGUGCAAAUGCAUCCGUAGUAGCAUCGACGUAGGUGUGAUUCAGCAGUGAAACGCAUUUUUCGCAACAAAAAAGUGUACGUGAAAUACAGACUCCAGUUUCUCCAUAUCGCCAUUCUGUGUGUGUCGCCAAACAAAGGAGCGCCAGCUGGUGCAGUUUCCUUCUGCGAUGGUAGUGUUGGUGCUGUGUGUGAACGUGCUGCGCUGUGCUAAUCGGUGUGUGAAGUGAGUGAAUCCCGUAUCCCCCCUCCCGUGCUCUGCCCCAUGGUGAGAUGGCUGACGACGACGAGUGCGUGCUGACUGAUCGAAUCAUUUAUUGCAACUGCUGCUGCUGCUGCAACCGUCGCCGCCGUCGUUAUUGCAUCGACUAAUCGGUCUGUUAAUGAGAUGGAAAUUGUAAAAAUCCAUCGAUCACCCAUUCCCUUGUAGUGCAUCAUACAGUGGGAGUGUAGAAAAGUGCACUAAUGCAUCCAAACACACAUAUGCUAGGGUCCGAAAUUCGCAAGAAUAUCACAAAUGAGUAGAAACGAUGGAUUAAAACAUUAGAUUGAACGGUCGAAGUGCAAGUUCAAGGUACAAUGCGUUUAGUGCAUUUGUGGUACAACGAAAGUGGUCGAUACUAUGUAAACCUCAAGGGCUAAGUAUCAUGCACGAGCGGUCAGCAUUGGGCGACAAAGAGAAGUGUGAUUUCGCAAGGAAAAAAUGGAAACCAUAUCAAAGCUUUAUCCUCCGUAAGGCGUCAAAGUGCAGCGAACAGUAGUGAAGCCGCUACACUAACAAAGCAGUAUUCGAUCCAUUCAUAAUGAAAGCCAACGAACCAACCCAGUCAACCCAGCACAGUGUACAGCUAACCAUGCAUCAUACGUCUUGAGCCGGUGGUAGGUCGGUGGUGCCGACUUGGCAACACGCCACAGCUUCCAUCGCUGGCCUUUGCGUUAGACGGAAAGCGAUUGUUAUCGGUUGGUGGGCUGCGCAGUAGCAACAGCAGCAGCAGGAGCAGCAGCAUCCUCAUCAACUGGCACUACCCGCAGCGACAGCAACCCACAUCCUCCGGUGACGUUGUGCUGAGAAGAUGUUCACCCAAACCAACCGCGACAUUCGAUUCUCCAGUGUAGCCAACGGUGACGAUAACGACGACGACGGUUCUAGCCAUCAUGGCCUGUCAGUGAGCCCAGUGCGCCCGGACCGAGCAUGGUGUGCUGCCGGAAGAUUGUGCUGCCGAGUGGGAACGAUCGCGAUCCACUAUCGCAGCAGCAGUGAACUCGAUGCUAGCAGCGAGCUGCAAGUGACGAACCGGCAUCAAUACUGGCCGAACGGUAUGGGUCGCGCAAUUGACGAGCCAUCGUUUGCCGAUCUGUUUCGUAAGAAGAAAAAGUGUUGACGGGGGUUGUCGGUGGUGUUGUGAAACCAGUGCGUGAAAUUGUAAAGUUUGAACAACAAUGAAUAUUUAAGCGAGAUCAGUGUGACCGAACCAGUGAGUGGAGAGAGCAGAUAUAGUGUCGUGCAAAAAAACGUGUGCAAAAAGUUCGAAAGCUCCAAGGCAAACCACAAAACACUGCUACAGUGCACAAAACACAUACACUAAGCCAAUAUACACAGUGCAUAUCUCAGUGUAGGAAGUGUUGUUCGCAAGAAACAGGAAAAAAAAACACAUAUUAAACCCCAGUUUCACCAUCGAGUGUAAGAAAAACGGUUGAAAUGUGACAUAAAGAUCGAUCAGAUGAAAGUGAAAUAUUGAUUUGUAGCAAGUGUCGUUUGUGAUACAAGCGUGUACCGAUAGUAAGGUGUAGAAGCAGUGUAGUUCCAUUUGCAAGACAAACUGGCCAUUCCGCAGCCUGCCAGGUGGCCGGUUUAUCAAUAAACAAGGUGUGAAUCGAUGUUUUCGUACCUCAGGCUACAGUGGUUUGGUGUUUUGUGAAGAGUGACGAGCGGAGACAGCGUGACAAAUCGAGAGAGAGAGAGAAAAAAACAGGAUACAGUUUCACAGUUCACAGAUCAAAAGGUGCAUUAGAAUCAACCGGAGAGCAAAAUGGACGACAUGCCCGAUUUGUCGCACCUAACGCAGGAGGAACGAGCCAUCAUCGAGGGAGUGAUGAUGCGCCAAAAGCAGGAGGAGGAACGGGAGAACGAGAUUAUGCGGCGCAAGCAGGACGAGGUGGCGACGCUUGUCGACUCGAUCCGGCAAAAGUCGG